UACGUAGGUGGCGAGCGUUGUCCGGAAUUACUGGGUGUAAAGGGAGCGUAGGCGGGAAGGUAAGUUGGAUGUGAAAUACCGCAGCUCAACUGCGGGGCUGCAUCCAAAACUAUCUUUCUUGAGUGAAGUAGAGGCAGGCGGAAUUCCUAGUGUAGCGGUGAAAUGCGUAGAUAUUAGGAGGAACACCAGUGGCGAAGGCGGCCUGCUGGGCUUUAACUGACGCUGAGGCUCGAAAGCGUGGGGAGCAAACAGGAUUAGAUACCCUGGUA
rnacentral:rRNA from 1 species